GGGUUGUGAGGUUAAGUGACUAAGCGUACACGGUGGAUGCCUAGGCAGUCAGAGGCGAUGAAGGGCGUGCUAAUCUGCGAAAAGCGUCGGUAAGGUGAUAUGAACCGUUAUAACCGGCGAUACCCGAAUGGGGAAACCCAGUGUGUUUCGACACACUAUCAUGUCAUGAAUACAUAGUGGCAUGAGGCGAACCGGGGGAACUGAAACAUCUAAGUACCCCGAGGAAAAGAAAUCAACCGAGAUUCCCCCAGUAGCGGCGAGCGAACGGGGAGGAGCCCAGAACCUGAAUCGGCUUGUGUGUUAGUGGAAGCGUCUGGAAAGUCGCGCAGUAAAGGGUGAUAGCCCCGUACACUAAAAUGCACAGGUCGUGAGUUCGAUGAGUAGGGCGGGACACGUGACAUCCUGUCUGAAUAUGGGGGGACCAUCCUCCAAGGCUAAAUACUCCUGACUGACCGAUAGUGAACCAGUACCGUGAGGGAAAGGCGAAAAGAACCCCGGCGAGGGGAGUGAAAUAGAACCUGAAACCGUGUACGUACAAGCAGUGGGAGCACCUUCGUGGUGUGACUGCGUACCUUUUGUAUAAUGGGUCAGCGACUUAUAUUUUGUAGCAAGGUUAACCGUAUAGGGGAGCCGUAGGGAAACCGAGUCUUAACUGGGCGAAUAGUUGCAAGGUAUAGACCCGAAACCCGGUGAUCUAGCCAUGGGCAGGUUGAAGGUUGGGUAACACUAACUGGAGGACCGAACCGACUAAUGUUGAAAAAUUAGCGGAUGACUUGUGGCUGGGGGUGAAAGGCCAAUCAAACCGGGAGAUAGCUGGUUCUCCCCGAAAGCUAUUUAGGUAGCGCCUCGUGAACUCAUCUUCGGGGGUAGAGCACUGUUUCGGCUAGGGGGCCAUCCCGGCUUACCAAACCGAUGCAAACUCCGAAUACCGAAGAAUGUUAUCACGGGAGACACACGGCGGGUGCUAACGUCCGUCGUGAAGAGGGAAACAACCCAGACCGCCAGCUAAGGUCCCAAAGUCAUGGUUAAGUGGGAAACGAUGUGGGAAGGCAUAGACAGCCAGGAUGUUGGCUUAGAAGCAGCCAUCAUUUAAAGAAAGCGUAAUAGCUCACUGGUCGAGUCGGCCUGCGCGGAAGAUGUAACGGGGCUAAACCAUGCACCGAAGCUGCGGCAGCGACGCUUAGGCGUUGUUGGGUAGGGGAGCGUUCUGUAAGCCGUUGAAGGUGGCCUGUGAGGGUCGCUGGAGGUAUCAGAAGUGCGAAUGCUGACAUAAGUAACGAUAAAGCGGGUGAAAAGCCCGCUCGCCGGAAGACCAAGGGUUCCUGUCCAACGUUAAUCGGGGCAGGGUGAGUCGACCCCUAAGGCGAGGCUGAAAAGCGUAGUCGAUGGGAAACAGGUUAAUAUUCCUGUACUUGGUGUUACUGCGAAGGGGGACGGAGAAGGCUAGGCUGGCCGGGCGACGGUUGUCCCGGUUUAAGCGUGUAGGGGGUGUGACCUGGUAAAUCCGGUUGCAUACUAACCCUGAGGCGUGAUGACGAUGCACUACGGUGCAGAAGUAGUUGAUGCCCUGCUUCCAGGAAAAUCCUCUAAGCUCCAGGUAACAUUAAAUCGUACCCCAAACCGACACAGGUGGUCAGGUAGAGAAUACCAAGGCGCUUGAGAGAACUCGGGUGAAGGAACUAGGCAAAAUGGUGCCGUAACUUCGGGAGAAGGCACGCUGGCAUGUAGGUGAAGUCCCUUGCGGAUGGAGCUGAAGCCAGUCGAAGAUACCAGCUGGCUGCAACUGUUUAAUAAAAACACAGCACUGUGCAAACACGAAAGUGGACGUAUACGGUGUGACGCCUGCCCGGUGCUGGAAGGUUAAUUGAUGGGGUCAGCCGCAAGGCGAAGCUCUUGAUCGAAGCCCCAGUAAACGGCGGCCGUAACUAUAACGGUCCUAAGGUAGCGAAAUUCCUUGUCGGGUAAGUUCCGACCUGCACGAAUGGCGUAAUGAUGGCCAGGCUGUCUCCACCCGAGACUCAGUGAAAUUGAACUCGCUGUGAAGAUGCAGUGUACCCGCGGCAAGACGGAAAGACCCCGUGAACCUUUACUAUAGCUUGACACUGAACAUUGAGCCUUGAUGUGUAGGAUAGGUGGGAGGCUUUGAAGCGUGGACGCCAGUCUGCGUGGAGCCAUCCUUGAAAUACCACCCUUUAAUGUUUGAUGUUCUAACUCUGCCCCGUAAUCCGGGGUGAGGACAGUGUCUGGUGGGUAGUUUGACUGGGGCGGUCUCCUCCCAAAGAGUAACGGAGGAGCACGAAGGUUAGCUAAUCACGGUCGGACAUCGUGAGGUUAGUGCAAAGGCAUAAGCUAGCUUGACUGCGAGAGUGACGGCUCGAGCAGGUACGAAAGUAGGUCUUAGUGAUCCGGUGGUUCUGAAUGGAAGGGCCAUCGCUCAACGGAUAAAAGGUACUCCGGGGAUAACAGGCUGAUACCGCCCAAGAGUUCAUAUCGACGGCGGUGUUUGGCACCUCGAUGUCGGCUCAUCACAUCCUGGGGCUGAAGUAGGUCCCAAGGGUAUGGCUGUUCGCCAUUUAAAGUGGUACGCGAGCUGGGUUUAGAACGUCGUGAGACAGUUCGGUCCCUAUCUGCCGUGGGCGUUGGAAGAUUGAGAGGGGUUGCUCCUAGUACGAGAGGACCGGAGUGAACGCACCACUGGUGUUCGGGUUGUCAUGCCAAUGGCAUUGCCCGGUAGCUAAGUGCGGAAAAGAUAAGCGCUGAAAGCAUCUAAGCGCGAAACUUGCCUCAAGAUGAGUCUUCCCUGGGCCUUUAAGGCCCCUGAAGGAACGUUUAAGACUAAGACGUUGAUAGGCUGGGUGUGUAAGUGCAGCGAUGCAUUGAGCUAACCAGUACUAAUGAUCCGUGAGGCUUAACCUUACAACACCGAAGGUGUUUUAG
rnacentral:rRNA from 1 species